UGCAUAACUUCUGAAUGCAAUCCAAGGUAUUUAAUUCUCUCUGUAGGCUCACGGUGAAGUGAGAUGUUCUGAGGUCUGGAAGCAGAUGAUGAGAGGUUCACCUCCUCUAUCAGCAGGAAAACUUUGGAAGCUGAAGGAUUGGACAAUACCUACCAGGGAGGUUGGCACCACCAAGAUGCCUGUCUGCCUUGGAUGAUGAGGGUAGCUACACGCAAGGCAAGCUAUCUGAACCGGACAGCAAAGACCACUUUUCCCCUUAAUGCACCAUGCUGUGGGAGGUGUUUGCUGCUGCUGCUCUUACAGAGCAGAAAACCAGAGACCAUGUGGGUCCAAGCGGAGGUGCAGAGCCACGUGGAGGGUGGAUAAUUUGAGUUUUGGACACAGAGCAUCACGGGUGGUGCCUUGGCCAGCUGUGUGCUGAGGUCAGCCUAGACUUGGACAUCUUACGUUCUGCUCUUUGCCUUCUCCUUUUGUCCCCCUGAGCACACAAGAGGACCAAUCCUCUGUCACCCAUCCGGCACAAACAGAGA